AUGUAUCAGCUACUCUUCCAUUCCGGAUCCGUGUCCUGCUUCUUUGCGCACUGCUCUGGACACGAGGACUUUAUUCUGCAUGACUUUGAGCUCUGGCACGCGACCGGUUCGCGCAGAGUCGAGGGCCAGCUCGCUGCGGCAGUUAUCAGAGCGAUUGUCUUCCUGUCCAAGUCUCCAGCAGCGCCUUCAGGCAUCUGGCCGUGUCGUCCCCGUGACCUCACAAAUACCCUUCUACAACACCAGAUGUUUCUACACACGUCACCGUCCAAUCAGAACACGAGAUUUUCCCUCCCUGAAUCGAGUCCACCAGGUGGCAUUGGCAGAUAUUUGAGUGCUUUUACCACAUUACUGAGUACAGUGCGGUUGGCAGAAACAGAGAGAGACAGAUAUAUACUACCACCCACACAUGCAUGUAUGACCCUGUACAUCUCACAGCAGAGAGUCGGCCCCCACAUUUACGCACACACCAGCGAUUUUAACAUCCAAGGGGUCAGAGUCGCUCCCAGAAACACAUGCAUGGGCUGGCGAAGGGAGUCAAGCUGCUGUUUAUCACAUGGAUGGAGGGCCCCUCCACAAUCACAGAGAUCAAAGUGGGAAAAAAGGGUUCAUACUCACAAAAACAUGGCUAUAUGUAGGUUGGGAGAGGAGGGAAAAAAAAAUAUUGUGUGCCGUAUUUAGCACACUGCCUGUUGAUGAGGUCUUUAAAGACUCUUCUUGUACAGUGUGCUGUCAGUUGAGUUUAGAGAACACUGCUGUGUAGCUCUGCCUGGGAUUAUAACAAAUCUGUCAUGAAUUUUAGAUGCUUCUAAACGCAGGGAUUCAGCAGCCCAAGAGAUGGAAGUUGGCUGUGAAUUGUCAUUAACGGCUCCCUCCGAGGCUGCGAGUGGUGAAGUCGUACUGGCAUUGAAUGUUCUCUGGUGAGAAUACUCACUUCCCCCUGCUGAUCUGGGUCCAUAUGGAUAUCUAGAGUCUCAGAUGUCCGUUUCAGGAUCACUUCCGUUCUGGAUAAGGCAAAACUGACCCUAGAUUAGCCCUUAGAUUUAGAGAUGUGAUGAUAUUUACCCUGAAAAAAAAAAGAAAAAAGGAAAAUGCAUAAAAAAAAUUAUAUGGAUGAGUACAUUUCCAUAUUUUAUAAAAAAUGUGAGUAGUGCUGUCCAACAGAGGAUGCCUUUUUGCAGUUGCUAAGAUGAUAUAGCUGAUUUAAUUUAGUUUAACUAAUGUACUAAAAUAACUCAACUGAAAUUAAAAAAAGGAAAAUAAUAAUAAUAAAAAUGACAAAACACAACAAAAUUACUAAAACUUUAAACUAAUUUUUUUAUGAAAAGUAUAUAUAUAUAUGAAAAUAAAAACUACGUACUUUACUAAAUAAUAUUAAAAGCACUGAUUGCUAAGUCAGGACCAGGGUUAUUAUCCUUUUCUAAAACUAUUAAAACAACAAUCUCCUUUUGUUAACUGAGAUUAAGAUGAAAAAUAAAAUAAAAUUACACUUACACAGUAAGAAAUAGCACAUAACACAAAACUGCCACAAAACAAAAUAAAAACAAAAUAAAAUAUAAAAUAAAUAUGUCUAAAUAUAAAAAACCAUAAGGUUGUUUCUUUAAUGUAAAUGUUGUUGUUGUUUAUCGACAUCAAGCCACAUACUGUAAUUUGAUGUAUUGUUUGUGUCUACACAAACAUUGCAGGAUGAGUUAUGCUUAAGUAAAAUCCCUAACAGAAAGAAGGAAUAAUUGUAAUACUGGUUCUUGCCUCAGCAGCACCACUAAAAAGCAAGCAAAAAGGACUUGUUGUAAACCAGUUAAAUCAGUGAGCAGAUGCUCUAAUGGACCUAUUAACACAGAACAGGCCUGUAAGGAUUCCUGGAGUUUCUUCUCAAUAACUUUAAUUCAGUUUUUUUACUUUCCCUAUUUUUUUUCCUCUACGCAGAGGGUCGAGAAAAAAGCUUUGAGAAAAUCCUUGUGAGGGUGUCUUCAUUUAUAGAUAGAAAGCAUAGAUAUAUUUAUUGAUCUCCCAGGAGAAAAUUUUUUGGCGGAUUAGCUGAGAGUCUGGAGAUUUUUACUCUUCAGGAAUUUGGAAUUUGAAAACCACAUGCUCAUUCCAGUUACUCCUUUUAUCGCAUCAAGAGACAAAGCAACUUUUAUGUGCAUUUUUUUAGAUUAAUGCUAGAUCAAUAAUCAUUAGCAGGGUCAUUUAGUUACAAAUGCUACAGUUUAACACUACUAGAUAAAGACCGAGUCAGUAUUGAUAAAGGAAUCAGUACACCUGGUCAAAGUCUAAAUGAACCCGGUGUGUGUGUUCACAUUGAUUCUGCUGUCAUUAUCCGCAUGUACUGUCCUGUCUCUUUGACUUUGUCCUAUUGUUAUAGUGGUCAAAAUGAUUACAAUUACACUGUAAUCUCGUUCUCUUACAAAGCUUCUUAUAAGUAUCUCCAGUAAGAGCAUCACGACACAAUGUGUGCCAUUGUCCAAGCUUGACUUACUUUCCAAAACCCUUUAGCUGACAAUCUGAGCAUAAAACACUUCUAUUUAAUUUUAUCUUCCAUAAUGUUCACAUCGUCUGCUCAUUGGGUCUUGGCUGUCUUAUUGUCCUUCUGCCUUACUGUCUAGAGACUAAGAGGAUUCAUAGUAGUAGUAGGAUAUCAACAAUCUGCUCUCUAAAAUGGUUAUCCUCCAAUCUUGUUUCUUCAUUAAAUCAGAUUUGGAGAAUUUUUAUAUAGCAUUACAUCCCUUGCUAACCAAUGGAUCCUCUGCAGUGAAUGAGUGCCGUCAGAUUGAGAGUUCAAACAGCUGAACAAAACAUUAUUAUAACCCACAAGUAAUUCAUACCACUCCAGUCCACCAGUUCAUGUCUUGUAAGCAAAAGCUGUGUGUUUUGUAAAAACAGAAAUCACCAGUAAUGUGUUUAGCUUCUGGCCAAAAUACUAGUCCAUAAUCCAUAAUAACGCUUCCUACAGAUUUUUGCAUUACAAGAUUUUAAUUGAUGGAUUACUUGUGGAUUAUUGUGAUGUUUUUACAAGCUGUUAGCACUCUCAUUCUGACGGCACCCAUUCACUGCAGAGAGGGUCUAUUGGUUACCAAGUGUCUAAUGCAAAAUUUCUCCAAAUCUGCUCCAGUGAAUAAAAAACCUAACAUUUUUGAUAUACUAAGGUUGAGCAAAUUUUCUGCAAAUGUUCCAAUAACAAAAAAAUAAAAAAUAAAAUCUGUUUUAAAUAAUGUGCUGUGAAGAAAUAAUAAAACAAUAAAACUAGGAAUGUUUCAUUUGGAUUUCAUGUUGACUUGGAUCGUGGUGCACUUAGCAAUAAAAAUCCUACAAAAAGAUCCAGAUUCCACCUGUACUGUGCCUUUGGUCUCCAACCUUCAAAUUUAUUCCGAGUGCCAGUCCACAGUUUCCCACCUGACUGACCACACUUCCACCCUGUGCCAGAUCCUGGUCAUGCAACCUGUCUCUCCACCUCAAAUCCUGAUCAUUCCAACUACUCACUGCAGCCCACCGGAUGCCCCGCGAUGCCACGGCCGCUACCCCACAGUCCCUGCAACCUCAAAUACACCACAUAUCUGGAUAAGCACACAUUAUAUAUUUAUAAUAAAACAUCCCCGUUAGGCUGUCAGAUACGGAUGCUCAUUUUUAUGUAGAUCAAAUCCCAUAGGAAAGAAUUAUAAAUGAGACAUCUUAAUAUAAAAUAAUAUCUUGUUUCUCCUAGGCAGCAAUGAGAUUUUUUUUUGUCCUGCAUGAGAAAAGGAGCCAAUUUAACUCUCAGGGAUCUCGGCAAUGUUUUCUCAACAAUGUGAGACUUGCCAAGACUCCAAGUGUGCAAUCAAAAGUCAAGAGAUCUCCAUAUGAACUCGUCAAAGACCAAAUGUUCAAUGUGAAGCUUUCCACACUAAAAAUAAAUGUGUCGAUAGAAUUUUCUUUUAAAAUCUGCUAGUAAAUUUCACAACCAAUUAUAAAGCAACAGCAAGUAACACACUCAAUUACUUCAAGAAACUUUAAAAUGCACAUUCAUUUUAUAGAUUUAACAAUAUUUAGGAGGAAAAAAUAUGAAAUAAUGUUGAUACUUAAAUGAAAGAUACCUGAAAUCGACAUGAAUCUCCUGGGCUAUGAUAGAGCCACUUCUGAAAAAAAAUAGUCACUGCAUGAUCUCUUCCGUGGUUUGAAAGGUAUAAAUCCUGUGAGCCAGGAAAGAUGAGGUGGUGUAUAUAAUAAAGAAACAAAUACUAUAUAAAAUAUAAAAAAAAAAUUGGGGUGAAAUGUUAUACUGUGCAAACAAAUGCAAGAAUGUUUGCAUGUUCAAAUUCAUUGCAUUUAUUCACUCCCUGAGACCCUAACAUAAGUAGCACAAUUUUUUUUUUUUUUUAUGUAGGACAUUUGCAGCAUGUUAAUAAAUUCAAAUGUUGUUUUCAGUCUCAUAAGAUUAAGAGUCAUCUAGAGCCAAUCUGCCAAAAAAAAAAAAGAGCCUUAGUGGUUCUCAUCUCCCAAACAAAACAUAAGGGUUAACAGAAGAACUUUGACCUUCAAUAGACUAUCCUCAGACUUCAUGGAAAUAUAAGCUACAUUUGUCAUAUCGAAAAAUUAAUUGUAAAUAUUGUGUAGUAAAUAAAAUGUAAACACAUUUCAUCAAUAUUAAAUCAGCAGAGAUGCAAAGAAAACCAAUUCCUUACCUCACUAAAUAGACAAUGAUAAUAAACCUCCGCUUGUUAUUUUGGGCUUCUAUUAUAAGACCCUCUGAAAUAUGCGCUGAAAAUAGUGACAGGAGGUUAAACUGGCACAAGUGACUCAUGGACGUCAAACUGAUCGGGUUGUUUUUAGAGGACAUCACGUUUUUGACGGCUUUAACCUCAUGUGACUGUGAGCUGAAAUAAUAGGAUAAAAAUAUUAGAUAAUAAUAAUAACAGAAAACAAUAAGAGCUCAUUUAAUAUUUGACCUUCUGCAAAUUGCCUAGUGCCUUACUGUGAAACUGAGUGCUGAAAAUGGAUUUCAGUUGCAAACGUUUAAUAAAACACUCCAAGAAGAUUAAUUGGCAUUGAAGCUUAUUAUGCCAAGAACCGCUCAAUUUCCUCUGAGCUCGGACACAAAUGAGACGCACAAAAGAAGCUGUUCUUAUUCACCUUGACAUAUUAAAUGUCUCUCUGACAAGGACUCAGUCAAAUGGCCAUGUCCUGGAGCUAUGAGAGUUUCAGCUUACUGUGCUGAGGUCCCCUGCUGAAUGAUAUAUAUAUAUAUAGAAAGGCAAUGUCAUAAA
ensembl:lncRNA